CGGUCGUGGAGGGCCCAGUGGCUUAAAAUUGAAAUAAGUUUAUUGAGGUUCGUCUUGCAAGAAAUUUGCUCCAGACUGUCAUUGGCAACUGGUAUGCUCGUGAUCCAACCAUAACAUCGUGUUUCUCGCAGCUGCAACAAUUAGCAGUGUGUGCUGCUGGAGCCAUGCUAAACGAUGAUCUAAACAUGAUGGGAUCCUGUAUUAAUGAUUACUGGAGCUUAAAGAAAAUGGUUGCCUCAGGCUGUGAACCAAGCAAGGUGUCCAAGCUCAUGGCCACCUUACACAAUCACUGUCUGGGCAUGUCUCUGGCUGGCGCUGGUGGAGAUGGCUACCUUUAUGCAUUAAAGGACAGGCCUGGACCGCUAGAAGACAGUGUUGACCUUGGUGGGUUAACUAGCGACUGUUGAAGUUGACCAGCAAGGACUAGAGUUAAGGGUUAUCUUGAGAUGAUUUCGAGGCUUUAGUGUCCCCGCGGCCCGGUCCUCGACCAGGCCUCCACCCCCAGGAAGCAGCCCGUGACAGCUGACUAACACCCAGAUGUACUGUACAUUAACAGGUCAAGUUAAGGCUGGCAGUUCAGUUUCCAUCAAUAGAAAUACCUGUAACUGGAGAUCUCGCAGCCCACCAGGUGAUGUUGCCAAGUUUGUGUUGUGAUGAUGUCACCCCACUGUUUCUUCCAUCCCCUUCAGGGUUAUGAGGUCUAGCUCCCUUAACUUAUCCUCAUAGCUUAACACUCUUAGCUCGGCCACUAAUUUUGUUACAAAAUUUAGUAGUUUUCACUUGUUUUUACGCUUCAGAAAGUGUAGAUUCCAGGCCGUUGCUGCAUAUUCUGGUAUAGCUUUUACAAAAGCUGUGUAGAUUGCCUUGAGUACUGAUUUAGGGUUCUGAAUGAUGAUCUAAUGGUUUACCAAAGUGCUUUAAGUUGGUAUUCUCACACUUCUGUAUUUUCCUUAAAAUAAUUUUUUAAUUAAAAAUAUAUGUACAGUACACACAAUCUGUAAUAACAAAUUUUAGCUAUAAAGGGUAUUUUCACAACUUUGCAUUACUGGACUGUAUCUGAAUAAAGUUCCCAGUUCCAAUGGAGGUUUUGUUAUGUACUUGGCAAUCUCUCGUAAGAAUUCUUGUAUACUGCUGUCAGAGACAGGAGCGGCCAAACUGUCUUGGGUAUGUUGGGGUCAUCCUAGUCAAGGCUACUUGCAUGGUCAUCCAUCCAGUUACUAGUCAGACACCACAGUGAAGGGCUGAACUUGACUGAGUGAUAUGGGCAUGGAGCAGUUGCUAGAUGUGCACAUCUGAAAAAAAAAGUCCAAAUACAGUACUGUAUAUCCUUUUCCCAAUACAGUAAUCUAUUCUGAAUUGUUAAGUUUUCUUUAUGACCUGUACAGUGAUUAAAAGUACAAAACUACUAAUAUUGUUUGUCAUUCAAUUAGACAAGAGUACAAUUCAUUAUAUACUGUAUAUCAUUUGGGAUGAUACCAAUUUGUACUCUAAACUGCCUUCAUACAUAUUAGCAGUUAGUUUUACUUAUAAUACUUAUAUGCAGGUUUGAUUUGAUUGGUUGUUCUGAUUUAUUCGCACCUUGACUACUUGGUCAUUUUGUGCCUUACUUUGCACUGUAGACUAUAUAAUAUUUAUUUUCCAAAUCGGUUAGGGAAAGCGUUUUUUUAUCAGCACAAUUAGAGCAAAACUGUACUGUUUUAAUGUUUGCCAUACAACAUUCAGUAUUCCAAUUAUUUUCGAUCACUGAAGUGUUUUAGGUUGUGUAACCAGUGCAAGUAAACAAACAAAUUAAGUAAGGUGCUCAAAUUUAUAUAAAUAAUUGAUGCAAAUUUUGCUGUGAAGUGAGGGGAGGGGAUGGGGGGGGGGAGGAAGCACAGCUUAAUGAGAAAAUCCGUUGAGCAGGGCGGUGGAAUUGCACCCAGCAUCUUGGAGUGAUCCUAGAUGCACACCAUACUUAUGGACCAUGAUGAGGUUCUUAAAAGCAACACAACCAGAUGUCCACCUGAACUCAAGGUAUUUGGAGGCAUCAAGCCGAUAUCUAAUCCAAGGUUUACAUGUUGCCUGCACGCACAAUGGAUUGGGAACAGAGUUCUUCACCAAAGGAUUUAAUCAAAUACAAAGCAAAAUCACACUGUGAUGUAUCUACAAGAAAAUCUUGGAGCAGGGUGGUGGAAAAGGACCAGCAUCCUGGGGGUCACCCUAGGAUGCUGGUUUAAUUCCCUACCCUUCCCCAAAGAUUUUCUCAUGGAUAUAAGGUAAGGUAAUUAUCAAAAGAAGGCACCAAACCGGGAAGGCUAUGUAGCACCAUCAAAGUGCGAAAUAAUCAGAGGGCGCU
rnacentral:lncRNA from 1 species